UGAGGAAUAUUGGACAAUGGGCGCAAGCCUGAUCCAGCCAUGCCGCGUGCAGGAAGAAGCAUCUAUGGUGUGUAAACUGCUUUUGUACGGGAAGAAACACUCCUUCGUGAAGGAGCUUGACGGUACCGUAAGAAUAAGGAUCGGCUAACUCCGUGCCAGCAGCCGCGGUAAUACGGAGGAUCCAAGCGUUAUCCGGAAUCAUUGGGUUUAAAGGGUCCGUAGGCGGUUUGGUAAGUCAGUGGUGAAAGCCCGCAGCUCAACUGUGGAACGGCCAUUGAUACUGCCAGACUUGAAUUACAAGGAAGUAACUAGAAUAUGUAGUGUAGCGGUGAAAUGCUUAGAUAUUACAUGGAAUACCAAUUGCGAAGGCAGGUUACUACUUGUG
rnacentral:rRNA from 1 species